UUAAAAGUUUUAAAAUUGAAAUAUACAUGCAGCAUUUUUUACGAACACAAUUAUUGCAGUAUUCCAGCUUAAACAUCUAAUAUUGAAAACGCCUGGUCUUGAGCUUUUCAAAAUGUGGUCUACCAUUUUUGUUACUUCUAAAUUGACAGAGAUGUUGCGAAACUUGUACAAACUUCAAUUUAUUUAAUAAAUCAAAGUUGUCUAAAUAUCUAAUUUCUUCGUCAAUUUUUGAGAAAGGUAUAGACCACUUCAUGAAAAGUCCGUAGGACGUACAGUCUCGUUUUUAUACUUUCUUUGCCAUGCAUUAAAUAUCAGAGAACAAAGACGACUUUCAAGUCGCAUUUCAAAUCUCAACUCCCAAGUUUUUUUAAUUCAUAGCUAAAUUAGUAUAUAACAAAACUUAAAAUAAAAAAAACCUUUUAUUUUCUAUUUUAGAAUCGGAUAAGCAUAUUCAACAAACCGGCAAUAAACGAGGAAGAGCAGAGAAGAAAUCAAAUUAAGAAAGCAAAAUUUAAUUCAAAACUUUCGAAAUUUGAAAAAUUUAAUUCUGAUAACAAAGACGACCUUGUCAGGCGGAUAUCUGAUGUAAAGAUUAAAACUGAGAUGUUUGAGAAGGGGGAGGGAGGAGAGAAUGAAAAGAGGGAGAAGGAAGAAGCUGAAGAAAGGAAAAAAUCCUUUGAGAAAAUCAAGGGACAGUUCACCAAAAUUCAAGACGAAAAAGGGAAAGAG